AAGUCGUAACAAGGUUUCCGUAGGUGAACCUGCGGAAGGAUCAUUAACAAAUCUGCUAUGGUCUAGUGCAGCAAUGUGCUAGAUCACAUUGACUCGGGCUCGGUCGGAGUAACAAACCGAUCGAGUCUUGAGACAUUCACGCUUGUUGUGUAUGACUGAGUUUAUAUGUGCCUUAAACAAAGACAACUUUUAACAAUGGAUCUCUUGGCUCUU
rnacentral:misc_RNA from 1 species